GAUGAACGCUAGCUACAGGCUUAACACAUGCAAGUCGAGGGACCGGCGCACGGGUGAGUAACACGUAUCCACCCUGCCCUUUCCUCGGGGAUAGCCUUUCGAAAGACAGAUUACUACCCGAUCACAAGUAUGGGGAUGCGUUCCGUUAGGAUGUUGGUGAGGUAACGGCCCACCCAGCCUUCGAUGGAUAGGGGUGCUGAGAGGAAGGUCCCCCCUAUUGGAACUGAGACACGGUCCAAACUCUUACGGGAGGAAGGAGUAAGGUAUAUUCGUCAAUGGGCGGUAGCCUGACCCAGCCAAGUAGCGUGAAGGAUGAAGGCCGAUGGGUCGUAAACGUCGUUUAUAUACGAAUAUGUAUUAUACGCAUAAGGAUCGGUUAACGCCGCGCCAGCAGCCGCGGUAAUAC
rnacentral:rRNA from 1 species